UAAUGCUUGGGAAUCUAGCAUAUGGAGGGGGAUAACUACGGGAAACUGUAGCUAAUACCGCGUAGAAUCGAGAGAUGAAAGUGUGGGACCUUCGGGCCACAUGCCAUAGGAUGAGCCCAAGUGGGAUUAGGUAGUUGGUGAGGUAAAGGCUCACCAAGCCGACGAUCUCUAGCUGGUCUGAGAGGAUGACCAGCCACACUGGGACUGAGACACGGCCCAG
rnacentral:rRNA from 1 species